UACGGAGGAUGCAAGCGUUAUCCGGAAUGAUUGGGCGUAAAGCGUCCGCAGGUGGCUGUGUAAGUCUGCUGUUAAAGAGUGAGGCUCAACCUCAUAAAAGCAGUGGAAACUACACAGCUAGAGUGCGUUCGGGGCAGAGGGAAUUCCUGGUGUAGCGGUGAAAUGCGUAGAGAUCAGGAAGAACACCGGUGGCGAAGGCGCUCUGCUAGGCCGCAACUGACACUGAGGGACGAAAGCUAGGGGAGCGAACAGG
rnacentral:rRNA from 1 species